rnacentral:rRNA from 1 species
UACGGGGGGGGCAAGCGUUGUUCGGAAUUACUGGGCGUAAAGGGUUUGUAGGUGGCUUGCUAAGUCACACGUGAAAUCCCUCAGCUUAACUGGGGAACUGCGUGUGAAACUGGCGAGCUUGAGGACAGGAGAGGAACGCGGAAUUCCAGGUGUAGCGGUGAAAUGCGUAGAUAUCUGGAGGAACACCGGUGGCGAAGGCGGCGUUCUGGA